ACAGCAGCAGCCGCGGUAAUACGGAGGGUGCAAGCGUUAAUCGGAAUUACUGGGCGUAAAGCGCACGCAGGCGGUCUGACAAGUCAGAUGUGAAAUCCCCGGGCUUAACCUGGGAACUGCAUUUGAAACUGUCAGGCUGGAGUCUUGUAGAGGGGAGUAGAAUUCCAGGUGUAGCGGUGAAAUGCGUAGAGAUCUGGAGGAAUACCGGUGGCGAAGGCGGCCCCCUGGACAAAGACUGACGCUCAGGUGCGAAAGCGUGGGGAGCAAACAGGAUUAGAUACCCGCGUAGUCCCUGUCUCUUAUAC
rnacentral:rRNA from 1 species